UAUUUAAAUUUUGGGUGACACAUAGAAUAACUUCAUAUCCUGUUCUUUGAUGAGCUGUCGUGUUGCAUGUGGAUCUAAUUCAAAAUAGAAGUGACCUGGUGUGAUGAGUGUAAGAUCAAUGUGUGAGAGCAAUUUUCCCAGUGAUCUGCACUAAGAGAGCAGCUCGAGCCAUGGCACGCAAACGUGCUGGCGAUCCUUGUGCCACCAAAUCCAAUGUUUUCGAUAAAUAAACUAAAGACCUGCAAGCGCCCCCAUACUCCUGAGCCGGGACCCCUGCAGCGGCGCCCCCUCUCUCAGAUGGUUAAUACAGGAUAGAAUAAAGCAGGACAGAAUAAUGAAAGCGCUCUGAAGUCCUUGUACGAAACCACUACUAUAUAUAUGAAACUCAGAGCAUGACAUCAUUCUGUGUACCGAUAAGAAGCAGUUUGAGGCAGUUCAAACAGGCUUUGUUUUAGGAUCUUAGAUGAUGUUUAGACGAACCUUGAACAGAAGAACAUGUUUGUGUCUCUGUAAGCAGAUAAACAUUCUGAUCUCAGUGACAUCACAUGGCCUUCUGAGUCGUUAUCCUCACAUGAGAAUGAAACAGAACAAGAACAAAACUAUUUCAAAGUAAAAAUUAAUAAUUUCCCUCACAGUGUAAUGAACAGAAUCUGCUGUUAGUCAAUAACUGGAAUCUGUUCUGGGAGUGUCCUAGGUUGUUUUGUCCUGAUGGCCUGCACCCCAGCAGCCUCGGAGUGGAACUGCUGUCUGACAACAUCUCCAAGACGCUACACACCAAGUGACUGUCUACCGUACGACUUCAUCGUGAGUCACAAAGUGCGCUUCAGCAGCGUGGCCCCCACUCACUACAACGUGGUGUACGACAGCAGUGUCCUCAAACCAGACCACAUGCAGAGACUCACCUACAAACUCUGCCACAUGUAUUACAACUGGCAGUCAAUAGUGCAACAAGGUAUCUGGACUAGAUGACCUCUAUCUGGCCUUUGAUUGGGCCUACUGCGUCUUCUGAUGGAGAUGUAAAACGAAGUGCGUGAGUUUAAAAGAUCCAUGUGUUCCUGUAGUUGUUGGCAGCUCAGCGGGCGAGACGUGCGGCUCUAAUCGCUUGGAUCAAUAGUCUAAGGCUGGAAGUUCAGUGCAUAGGCUGAGAAGGAGGACAGGGUAAAGGAAAUGCACCAUACCGUGGCGUAGGGCACGGCCAACAGGCUGCAGCUCCAGACCCGGCGGUGUUGAGAGCUCAGUGGAGGAUACGUUUGGCUCAGAUCAGGAGGAUCCUUAGGCUCUUGCCGGAGUUUCUGCACAUGUGGUAAGUGCAGGAGUCAACACCUGUUUCAGUGUUUAUUUACAGUCACAGCGUUUAACCUCACGCUUCCUACCUCGCCAGGGAGAUCAUGUCCGAGGUCAAGGCACUCAUCACUCAGAUCACAGAUGCGUUAAAGUAACGUCUGAACUUAUUCACUCUUAUUCGCUGUCUCUCUCUCUACACGUUCAUUACGCACCAGUUUCACUGACUGUGUUUAGCCUGCAGCCGAGAAGCUGACGGAAGGUGAGCUGCAUGAUGGCAGGCUGAUCGCCGAUCAGAAGAAGGAGGGGGAAGAUUGAGGAGCCGAUUUUUAUUUUGUUUUUUGUUAAAUAAAAGGUUUC